rnacentral:rRNA from 1 species
GUGGGGAAUAUUGCACAAUGGGCGAAAGCCUGAUGCAGCAACGCCGCGUGAGGGACGACGGCCUUCGGGUUGUAAACCUCUUUUAGUAGGGAAGAAGCGAAAGUGACGGUACCUGCAGAAAAAGCACCGGCUAACUACGUGCCAGCAGCCGCGGUAAUACGUAGGGUGCAAGCGUUAUCCGGAAUUAUUGGGCGUAAAGAGCUCGUAGGCGGUCUGUCGCGUCUGCUGAGAAAACUGGAGGAUCAACCUCCAGCCUGCAGUGGGUACGGGCAGACUAGAGUGCGGUAGGGGAGGUUGGAAUUCCUGGUGUAGCGGUGGAAUGCGCAGAUAUCAGGAGGAACACCGAUGGCGAAGGCAGAUCUCUGGGCCGUAACUGACGCUGAGGAGCGAAAGCGUGGGGAGCGAACAGGAUUAGAUACCCCGGUAGUCC